UACGGAGGGAGCUAGCGUUGUUCGGAAUUACUGGGCGUAAAGCGCACGUAGGCGGCUUUGUAAGUUAGAGGUGAAAGCCCGGGGCUCAACCCCGGAAUUGCCUUUAAGACUGCAUCGCUUGAAUCCGGGAGAGGAGAGUGGAAUUCCCGGUGUAGCGGUGAAAUGCGCAGAUAUCGGGAAGAACACCCGUGGCGAAGGCGGCUCUCUGGGACGGUACUGACGCUGAGACGCGAAAGCGUGGGGAGCGAACAGG
rnacentral:rRNA from 1 species